ACGCUCGACACCUACGGUAGGCAGCAGUCGGGAAUAUUGCGCAAUGGAGGGAACUCUGACGCAGUGACGCCGCGUAUAGGAAGAAGGUUUUCGGAUUGUAAACUAUUGUCGUUAGGGAAGAGAAAGGACAGUACCUAAGGAGGAAGCUCCGGCUAACUACGUGUCAGCAGCCGCGGUAAUCUGAGGCGGGCUGGCAAGGC
rnacentral:rRNA from 1 species